rnacentral:misc_RNA from 1 species
AUUUGGAGCAAGCCAGGAAUAGAAUGAAGCAGCAAGCUAAUAAGGGAAGGGUUGAGAAGGAAUUUGCUGAAGGUGAUAUGGUGUAUUUAAGACUCCAACCUUAUAGGCAAACCUCAGUUGCCUUGAGAAGGACUUUGAAAUUGGCUGCUAGAUGCUAUGGACCUUUCAAUGUUCUGCAAAGGAUUGGCAAGGUGGCUUACAAAUUGCAGCUACCUUCUACUACUGCUAUACACCCCGUUCUCCAUGUUUCUCUUUUAAAGAGGA